UUAGGCUAGUUAGUUGUAUUUUUAUGUAUAAUCUUUUGUGUUCUGCUCUUGUCCAGCCAAGAUGCACACUUAUCUGGCAGUUCUGGAGAUCAUGAAAACCUGAUGUUUAAAGAGCGUCCACACAUCUUCUCAAAAAGUCAUGAUGUGUCUGACAAAGUGGAAGCUUCUCAUAAAGUAACAGAGUUUGAGAAUGAACUGAACAUUUUUAGCAGGUGUGCUUCCUGACCAGAGAAGUCAGAUGACGGCAUGAGCAGCCCCUUAAAAGACAAGGCUUGGAUUGGCAGUAGCAGACAAGGAACUCUGUGGGCAUACUCCAAGGAAACUGGACCUCCUCUGUCACAGGACAUCCACUGUUUAAGCACCUCCACUACCUCAGGAAGUCCACUGUCUGUGUGUCAACUCCACUGUUACAGGACCACAAGUGUCUCAGCACUUCAACUAUCACAGCACUUCUACUGUUCAGGAGCUCAAGAGUCUCAGCAUCUCAAGUGUCACAGGACCUCCUUUGUCCAAGAACUGGACUGUCCAAGCAACACUACUAUUGCGGGACCUCCACUGUCACAGGACUUCCACUGUAGGAGCACUACAACGGUCUAAGGACACCCACUGUCCUAUCACCUCCACUAUCCCAGGAAUUCCACUGUCGUAGCACCACCCAUAGCAACUACAGUGUUUCAGGACAUCAACUGAAGCAAGAUCUCCCAUGAUGCUUCAACUUCACUGCCACAGGAGCUCUACAGUGACAGGAAUACCCCUGUAUCAUCAAUUCCAAUUUUGCAGGACCUCCACUGUAGCAGAACCUUCAAUUGUGCAGCAGCUCCCCUGUAAGUAGAUUGACUGCCACGAUCUCAGUGCCUACACUUUCAAAGGACCUUCACUGUCACAGAACCGGCACUAUUUCAGUGCCUCCACUGUCGCAGGACCUACCUCUUCACAGGAUCUGCACUGUUGCAGCAACUGUAAUUUCAAUUUUUCAAAGUCAUUGCUGUUUAUAUUUGAGGCUGAAUGAAAUGUGAUGCUACUUUUGAAAGCAUAAGAAUUUGUUCUAUAGCUCUUGUGAUAAAUGCCGUGUGUGCUAGGACCAGUAACCUAUGGAAGCCUUCAUGAGCUCAUACCACUCUCCACCUCACUUUGUGGAAGCUGGUGUUUUUAGAGUGUGAUAAACUUCAGGUGAAUGGAUGCAUUCAGCUGCACCACGCUCUAGAGUGGGCUACACAGCAGUCAUAUUGAGUCCUUGCUGGGAAGAGAAGAAAUCCAGAAGAGGGAGAUGGUUGGGUUGGGGGAAGAAUCAUAAAAUACUUAGAGGAUAUAAGAAGGUAAGAAUUAUGGGGAACUGGAAAACAGAGCCAGAGGAAGAAUGAGCACAGAGCAAACUGGGAAGGACAAAGUACAAAGGCACUUGGGUUUUGCCAUCUGCGUGUUCUCUGGACAAUCUCCUUGGUCCUCAUUUCUGGGAGAAAACUCUUCCCCCACCCCCUUGUAAGGUUUCAUUCUUGAAGGAAAGCAGCAACACAACUUCAUCAGUAAAUUUCCCCAUUGGAAUUGGUUCAUCCUUUAAUGCCUCUGGGAAAUCCCUAGCUGGGGAUGUCCUGCUCUCUGCUGAGAGACAGCAGGAAAGUAGGUCGUCCUCUGUUUUCUCGUUGCUACAGCUCUUCUAAGUGUGGCUGAUUGUUGAGUGAAGGCACAGGAUACUUCUGGAGUGUAUGUAUGCUUUGUUCACUGUGGGUGUUGUUGGGAGUGUCCUGAAAAGAUGGGCAUGCCCAAUGGUACUUCUGCUUCUUCUGUGACUAGCCUUAUGAUCAUAGGGAGACACUAGGCCAUUGGAAGAUGAGGAGAACAAUGUGUCUAAGUUGUGUUCACUUCUAUUCCUAUUUAGUCCUAGAGGGAAAUCAGCAAGGGUGUGAGGAAUGCUGCUGUGCACUGACUGUGUGGUGUGAGGAAUGCUGCUGUGCACUGACUGUGUGGUGUGAGGAAUGCUGCUGUGCACUGACUGUGUGGUGUGAGGAAUGCUGCUGUGUACUGACUGUGUGGUGUGAGGAAUGCUGAUGUGCAUUGAUGCUGCCUUUUUUCUUUUCUCCCUACUCCUGCAUCCUUCUGGUGGCUCAGGUUGGACAACUAGGUGCCCAUGACCAACUCGUCAUUGUGGAUGGAUUUAGUCUGGUUGGACUUUCUCAGGAAAGGUAUGACUAAUUGGUUACUUUAAAGCUGAUUGGUUAGUCUUAGUGUAUUGAAGUGAUAUUUUGCUUUUAAUUUGAAAUUUGAAUUCAAAAAGAAGUGAUGUAACAGCUCUUUGUGUUUACUCAUCUUCCCCUAUAAUCCUAGUUGUUAGAGCACAUGAAUCUCAUUUGUGUUCACUCAUAAGAAUGUAUAUUCUUUAGAGUAUUUCCUUAAAUAAUUAUAUAAAUAUGUACACAUAUACUUAGAGCUUGUAAAAUGUUUAAAUAUCUUAAUGUUAAUGUUAUAGAAUAGAAUAUAUUUACCUGUUUUAUAAUUAAUUAUCAUAAGUGAUGUGGACAGGACAUAAUCUUCUGAAAGCCUAGUUUAUUUCCCACACAGCAACCGGGUUGAGGAACCUAAGCACAAGUAUUCUGAACAUAGACUCUACUGUGACAGUGACCACUGUUUCUUUUCUACCUAAGGCAGCUGAACUCAUGACUAGUACCAGUUCCAUGGUUACCCUGGAAGUUGCAAAUCAAGGCAUCCUCUCUCACUGCCUGUCCACCUUUCUUACCCAGACAUUGUCCUCCAUGGUGCAGAGAGGUAAGAGCUAGUGACUCAAGCCAGGUUAGCCAACACAUAGUAAUCCUGUAUUGAGAUAUGGCUCCUCCUAAAAGUUAUCAAAAUCUGGGACUAGAAAGAUGGUUCAGAAUUUUACAACACCAGUGUUAGCUCCCAAUUGCCCCUAAUUUCAGGGGAUUUGAAACCUUCUUCUAAGUUCUUUGGACACCAGUCAAACAUUCAUGUGCAUACAUGCUGGGCAAACACUCAUACACAUAAAUUAUUUUUAUAAAGAGAGGCCCUAAAAGUCCCAUGUAGUAACUCCUACCACAGCUCUUGCUCAGCUCUUCAAGGAAGAAGUUAGUUGAGACUGAGUGCAUGAUGCUGAGAAAUACUUCUGGAUCAUGAUUCAGAUCAGAUCGGAUGGUACAGUUUCCUAGAUAUAUUCACAGUCUGUUAGGUGCAGUAUUGUGAACACUCUUCUGACCCUGACUCAGCUGUGGAACCUGCACACCCUAGCCCUGACCUUUGUAGCUAGAGUAUCAACAACAGUAUCAGUAUCUGACAGCCUAGAAUCCUCUUUACUAAAGCGUAGAACAGGAAACAAUCCUGGCUAGACCAUGUGUUGGCAUGUUAAAGCAGAACACCAUUUACAAACACAAAGAGGGACGUGGGUAACGAAUGAGUCCCAGGUGAGCAGACAGGAAGACUAAACUGUGAACAGGUGUGGAUAAUGACACCAGGUGACAGCACCAUGUGAUGCUGUCAUUCUGAUGGAUAAUAAUAUGUGUGUUAUCAGGUGAGAGAAGAGAAGUUGAGUGCUUUUUAAAAAAUAAUCUAAAAAAGGUUACUUUGUUAUUUACAAAUUACAAUUCAGGUGUUGAGAAAAAAUAAGUUGUUUCCCCCAUAGAUACUUACUAAUUAAAUGAAAUGUUUUUCUAGACACAAUAUAUGUAAAAGCUUUUGAAAAUGUUCAUAUAAAGCUACUUGUGUUGGCAUGUGCAUUUAAUGCCAGCUCUAAGAAUGCAGAAAGAGGCAGAUUUCUGUUAGUUUCCGGUGCCCCUGUCUGAGCUUCAAAUAUAUAGUGAGACCCUGGGCUAUGGUUUCUUCUGAUUGCUUGGUUGGUUUUGCAUUUUUACGCUAGUCAAAGAAUGUAUAUAAAGAUCACCCUAUUGUACCAAGAGCAGUUAUUAAAUAUAAGAAUAUUAGAAGCAUACUUUGAAGCUCUUCAAGUCUUAGAACCAGUGAGAGGGAGAGAAUGAAUGAAUUGGCUUUGGUUUCAGUUUCAGAUCAUUAUGGCUCAGGUAAACCCAGAGCACAGAGUGAAGUUUUUGUAAGUUUUAUUUUUCUUGGAUAUUUUAUGUAUUCACAUUUCAAACGUUAUCCCCUUCCCAUGCUCUCCCAACCCCCUGCCUCUGCUUCUAUGUGGAUGCUCCCGCUCCCACACACCCAUUCCCAUCUCAGUGCUCUGGAAUAAGGAUGCUUGCAUGUAACCAUUGCACUGAAUAGGGGGACCCCAAUGGAGGAGUUAGAGAAAGGACUGAAGGUGCUGAAGGGGUUUGCAACCCCACAGGAAGAACAACAAUAUCAACCAACCACAACCCACCAGAACUACCAGGUAGCAAACUAUCAACUAAUGAGUACACAUGGAGGGAUCCAUGGCUCCAGCCACAUGUGUAGCAGACGAUGGCAUUGUCCAGCAUCGAUAGGUGGAAGAGUAAAGGUUUUGAGCUCUAUAAUAAUUCAGCUCAAAACGGCUCCCCAGAGAGUCCUCAAAAGCCUUGGACAGAGCACAGUGAUCCAAGGAAACUGCCUGGUAAAGACAGGCUGAUGAAAAACAGAGCAGAUCACCUUUUCAGCCCCAAUGUGACAAGAGGAGGCACUCUCUUAAGUCACCUUGUAACCCAGAAGCCAGUGAGGCACAUUGUACUUUGAUCAUUGUUGUUUUCAUAAAGGUCUCAAAUUAGUCCAAAAUUAGGAUUUUACUUGAAAAACCCUUGACCUUAUAGAUCAAAAUGCACUGUAAAUGUGUCUUCAAAAAAGUGUCAGGUCUCCAAGGUAGUGGAGAUCAUUUUUACACUUAAAAGAGAUGCUAACAAAGUAGUGAGGAUGGAGUAUACUGAAUAGAGACCCCAACCUCCAAAAGGCUUGAACCUCCAAAAGGCUUCACGUAUUUACUCUCAUGUCUCUAGCACAGAUCUCAUCUGGUCCUGGAGAAAGUCCUUAUCCUGGUCUGUGGCGUCAGGAGACUUGUAGGGGUGCGUGAAGCCGACUUCUGGUACAUUUUUGUCUCUGGCUCAGUGCUAAACAUCCUGCCCUCAGUGUAUGAUGGGUAUGACAUGGCUCCUGCAUUUAAAGGAACGUUGUUAUGUUUAUUUUACUUGUCAUUUAAUGUGACACUUGGGUUUUUAACACGAUUUCUAAUAGAUCAGCCUCCUAUUCCUAGAGAGAAGUGUGCAUAUACCACUAGAACAGCAGCUAACAUCUGUCUCCACUGGAGACCUCUGCACUGAGGUCUGAGAUGAGCUGGAACACUUUCUUACUUGUGAAAUAUCUGACUUCUUUGAUACAGUUCUCAACAAAUUACAUUAACUAUCAUUCCUGAAUUUUGUUCACUGAAGUUUUAUUUUUAUUACGCUACUCAAGUAAACUAAUACUAAAUUAAUGAAUCUGGAAAAUGAGAAUUAGUGUAAAUGAGUAAAUAAGAAAAUGUGAAAUGUUUUUUAUUGAAAGCAUAGGGUCAACAUUACAUUUUUAGCACAGCAUUUAAAAUACAUGCUUUUUAGAAAACCGUUUAUUUAUUUCCUUUAUAAUCCAAUAUUAGCCCUUCCUGUCUUCCCAGUAACCCACCAUACAAAUCUUCCCUCCAUCGCCCUUUCCUGAAAUGUCAAAGCUCCUUUCGGGGUUUCAACCCCCUUGAAUGCUUUUUAAAAGAUUGUAAAACAGAUCCCUGAGGAAAAAGUAUGCCUUUUAUGCAGUUUCAAGCAUCUGAUUGUUUAUUUCUUUACAUUUCACAAGAACAGACCCCUCAACCUAGACCUGGUUAGGAGCUAAAUUGCAGGAGUGACAGUGCCACAAACAGCAUGCAUCAGUGUAUAGAAAAAUCUUUUUAUUCCUUCAUAGACACAGGAACAGCUGGCUACUUGGCGGGUGAGCCAUAAAGCAGUGUCAGGUCUGGUUAUUCACCCAUUCCCCAGUUUUUGUUACCUCCUCUGUGAGGAAGAAACAUGCAUGAAAUUUUGCUAACAUCUCUGGUGAGUCCCUGAAGUAGUAGAGCUUCCUCUUUUCUUUUCUCAGCCUCUUACCUCUUCCAAGGAAGAACUUCAGGAAGAGUUUUACCUACUUGAGCUCCAUUGAGUAGAGGCUGGCAAGGGUCUCUAGUGUGACAGUAAUAUGUGGAUCCAGAGCUCCUCAUUGGAAUCUAUGACAUCCAGACAGGAGCACCUGAACCCUUCCUCCAAGUCAGUUACCCCUGCUUCCACUCUGAAUAAGAGUGGUCCUGGCCAUUGGGAAACCCCAGCAGAGGUGCUGCCCACCACUGUCACUGUCUCCCAGCCCAUAUGAACAGACCUCCCUCCACCACCUUCUCUACCACAGGUCCACUACACCAGAUUUUGGCGGCAUUUUAGUGCAUUUGCCCCUCCCACCACCUUAUGCAAACAAGGCAGGAUCCCAGUCUGUUCAGGUGGCUGCUGGCUAGCAAAAGAGAGUGAGGAGCAGCAGCGGUGGUCUGAGAUAUAGGUGGCCUGCCUGGACAAGGAAGCAGAGAGGAAGCACAGGGAGCAGGAGAGGAAUGGGUGACAGAUGCACUCUCAUUCCCUGAACCUGCUUCCUUCUCUUCUUUGACCACACCGACCAAACCAGGAAAACCUUCCACACUGCAGAGGCCCCAAGAAACAGUCAUUCUGGUGUUGUAGUCCCCGCAGCAGCCCCCCACUAUUGAGCACAGGGAUCUGCAGUUCAUAACUAUCAGUAAAGAGGAGUUGUCGUCUGGGGAGUCUGUCUCCAGACCCAUGGAAACAAGAUGCCAGGGAGAAGCUGGAGAAGCAACAGCAAAUGCACCUUGUGGAUAUGCUAAGCAAGGAGAUCCAUGAGCUGCAAAACAAGGGGGACGGUAGUGCAGAGGAGAGUGAUUGCCUGUGGAAGAACAUGCUGGAGUGGCAGUUCCAGAAGAGACUUCAGACCAUAUUUCUUGUGUUUCUCCCAGGUUCAUUUCAGAAUACUGUUCAAGAAGCUCAACAUUUGACGUUUACAUAGUAGAAAUUUAUAACAACAAUGUUUUUGCCCUUCUGGCCUUAGACAGUUCUACAGUGGUGUCUAUGGUUAAGUGCCAGGCAGUGAGAACCCAGGAGUGACAUUCAGAGGUACACAGGAUGACCUGCAGGUAAGGUUCUCCUGGGGACCAGUGUCCUAAAUGCAGGUCCUCAACCUUACAGCUGCCCACUCCAGCUGUGCCUGGGAUGGAGCAAGUGCUACCGACCUAGGAAGCAGCUCAGGGAGUGUGCUUAGUAUGUGCCCCAUUGCUUCAGUGCAUGACAAGGUUAAUCUGCAAAAGCAGCAAGGAUUUUAGCCAGCUCGCGUUCUGUAUCUGAGAAAGAACAUGUCCUUAAGAACAUCAAUAUGCUCACCUCUAGGACAUAUCAGCUUUAUAUGUCAAAGAUAUCAUAAUAAAGCUGUUUAAAACAUAAAAAGUUAUAGGGUAGCUCAAGUGUAGGAUGUACUGACCCUGAGUAUUAUAUCUAAUUACACACACAUACACACACACACACACACACACACAGAGAGAGAGAGAGAGAGAGAGAGAGAGAGAGAGCACUAAAAAAAGUUGGAAAAAUAAACAAAUCUUAAAAAUAUGUAAAUAACUGUGUAAUUAUUAAAAGUCUGUAUGAGAGUCAAUGUUUUUCGCCUCGCAUUGAGGAAGGGGCUUAGAGAAAUGAAUUAUCCCCCUCCAACCUCCAAAAACAUACGCACACACACAAUCAAUGACAUGUGUAAUUGUACCAGGAAAUACCCGUAUUUUAUAGAAUGCCAUAAUGGAAAGUAAGAACCAUCUUUUUCAUUAAGGGUUGCCAAAAUAUUCUUUUUUCAAGGUGUGUGCAGCCGUGCCAGUCUUGUUCACCAUGGGAUGGAAGAGGUCCCUGACCUGUGAGCCUAGAGGUGACCAGGUGCUCCAUUCUGAGACUGAGAGAGGCAGGAUGCCCACUCAAGGGUCCAUAGCAGGGUAGGUUUUCAAGCUAUGUACAGUGCUGGAAAAGCCUACACAGGGCAUACAGUUAGCAGUGAUGUGUUUGCAGGGAGUCCAAGGAACCAGCUUUGUACUGAUGCAGGUGGGCAAGCAUUUAUCAUCCACCUGCCACUCUGACAGCAAUAAGAGUAUUGCUUAAGUUUUAUUUCAUAGAUUUGAUCCCUGACCAAAAUACCAAAAACUGCACCCUUAACGAUGUAGCAAAUAGAAUAGUGGAUACUAGGCCAAGAACCUUUGACUCUUCUAAUACCAUUGUGUAUUUCAGAGCAAGGAAGGAGAGGUAUCAAUGGACAGCAGUCUGCUUUCCCCACGAGUGCUCUACCACUGAGUUAGUAGCCUUAGCCCUCCUCACCUUUAGAAAAAGGGUGUGACUAAGUUGUCCAUGGUGACCUUGAACUCAUGCUGUAGACCAGGCUAGCCUUGAACUUCUGAUCCCCCUUCCUACUGUGUGUCUUGAUUGUCUGGUAUUACAGGCCCAUUUCUCUACAGCUGACCAGCUUGCUUGCUUCCUCCUUUCUUUUCUUCUUUCUAUCUCUCUCUCUCUCUCUUUCUUUCAUUCUUCCUUCCUUUCUCUCUCUCUCUCUCUCUCUCUCUCUCUCUCUCUCUCUGCCUUUCUUGAUUUUUCGUUCUUUCAUACUUUCCUUCCUUUCUUUCAUUCUUUAACUUUCUUUUCUUCCUUCUUUCAUUCCUUUGUUCCUUUCUUUUAAGAUUCAAUUAUUUGAGUGGUCUAUCUGCAUGUACAUCUGUGUGUCCAAAGAGGGCAUCAGAUCUGAUUAUAGUUAGUUAGUAUCCAUAAUAUGGUGACUGGAAUCAAACUCAGGACCUUUGAAAGUGCUUUGAAAGCCAGGCUCUGAACCACUGAGCCUGCUCUCCAGCCCCAGCCCAUUUUCUUAAACUUAGCACACUUGGUUCACAUGAGAAUUGUCUGUCCAUGAGCAAGAUAAGGUUAAUCAUAGCAAAGAGUGCUUAUCCCUUGCCAGAUCAACAUGGGGUCUCCUGUGACUUAUGCUGUCCUUUUCCAGGCCUGUCACCAGUGCCUUGGCGUUUGUGGGACUCAUUCACAGAGGCAUGCAACUCAGAGAACUGCACCCCAACUUGGUGCACAGGAACUCUUUCAGGUGUCACUUGAUUGUCACAGGUUUCUGCUCGGUCAGCAAGGAAGGGAAGCCUAGCCCUGUGCCAGGUCAGUUCCCAGUACAGAAGUUCAUUCAUGGCAAACCCAAGUGAUCAUUGCAGUGAGCGUUGGCGGUCUAGAGCCCACAUCAAGGAGGCCUUCCAGACUUUGGAAGUGGAGAGGGAGGGAAGAAAACAAAAGUAUGGUACACUCACACUUUGGAAGGACACACAUCCAUCCUAAGUGAAACACAAGUUCUGUUUUCCAGUUGACAAGUAUAUAACAUGGCUCUUAAGGCUACACCCACAUUGUAAAAGCCGGUGAUGUCAAUCACAGCAGGUAAGAUGUCAGUCACCUGAGUCAUGCAGAGUUUGACCACAUGAGACUCACCCCAGGACUUAAAUGCAGUGAGUUCAAGAACUCACAUGCUAUGCUGCGUGGGCUCCUCCUUAUGCCACACCUUGACCCCAUUGCACCCUGGGCCUCCACACCAUAAGCCAGAGUGCAGAUCCCUGGGCACAGUAGGACACACCUAGGCUAGUUUCCACUCCCAUGGAUGUUCUUGUGGCCUUGUCAGAGCACUGUGACCACAUCCCACAUCUGAACAGCAAGCUAAUCAACAGGAUGCUCUAGGAGUCCAUCCGUUUGUCUUCUUCAGAGACCCCAUAAUAGAGGGGGCAGAAAUCCAGGCUUUAGGGAGCUACCACAGCCAUGAUUGUUCAUUUGUCCCAGCCACUCCACCUUUGGCCAAGUUACAGCUCUGCCAGGCCCUGCCAUGUUGUCUUCAACAUGUUUGUGUGUCAGUGAUACUUGUAUGAACUAUGCUACACGUUGGCCUAGAGGCUGGGCUUUCCUCUUGCAUUUCCAGCAAGACUACAGAGUUUCCGGGGGAGACU